rnacentral:rRNA from 1 species
GUGAGGAAUAUUGCGCAAUGGAGGCAACUCUGACGCAGCCAUGCCGCGUGCAGGAAGAAGGCGCUACGCGUUGUAAACUGCUUUUAACCGGGAAGAAACCCCAGGACGUGUCCUGGGUUGACGGUACCGGAGGAAUAAGCACCGGCUAACUUCGUGCCAGCAGCCGCGGUAAUACGAAGGGUGCAAGCGUUAUCCGGAUUCAUUGGGUUUAAAGGGUGCGUAGGCGGAGCGUUAAGUCAGUGUUGAAAUCCUGCAGCUUAACUGUAGACUUGCCAUUGAUACUGGCGCUCUUGAGUGCGCUUGAAGUGGGCGGAAUGUGCCGUGUAGCGGUGAAAUGCUUAGAUAUGGCACAGAACACCAAUUGCGAAGGCAGCUCACUAAGGCGAUACUGACGCUGAGGCACGAAAGCGUGGGGAUCGAACAGGAUUAGAAACCCCGGUAGUCC